rnacentral:rRNA from 1 species
AACGCGAAGAACCUUACCCAGACUUGACAUGCGAGUGGUAGGAACCUGAAAGGGGACCGACCCGCAAGGGAGCUCGUACAGGUGUUGCACGGCUGUCGUCAGCUCGUGUCGUGAGAUGUUGGGUUAAGUCCCGCAACGAGCGCAACCCUCGGGGUCUGUUGUAUCUCUCAGAUCCCACUGCCGAGAGAAACUCGGAGGAAGGUGGGGACGAAGUCAAGUCCGCGUGGCCUUUAUGUCUGGGGCUACACGCACGCUACAAUCGCCGGUCACAGCGGGUCGCGACAACGCAAGUUGAAGCUAAUCCCUUAAAACCGGCGUCAGUUCAGAUCGAAGGCUGCAACCCGCCUUCGUGAAGUCGGAGUUGCUAGUAACCGCGGGUCAGCACACCGCGGUGAAUAUGUUCCCGGGCCUUGUA